ensembl:lncRNA
AUUUAAGCUCCAUGCUGACGUCCCUUCUCUGCCAGUUUGUCGACUACUCUGUUGCUCCCAGAUGCUCCACGGUUCUGAACCACGCAUCCUUUUUCAUUUUGGGUUUACAUCUUUGUUUUCUGGGUUUCACUCCAUGCCUCAUCUGUCUACCUUCCUGCUGUCCCUCGGCCUCGGAACCAAAGGAACUCAGGUCAGCCAAAUCCACAUCAUCAAACUCACCUGGACCCACGCUUCAAUGCAUCCAUUUCUCUCCUGCAAAUGUGACCAUACGUACUAGUCCCGCUCUGGUUACCUUCUCAGUCCUGCCCCUUUGUUUUACCUCAGCCACGUCUACCAAGCCCC